rnacentral:rRNA from 1 species
CGCCCGAAGUCAGUGACCUAACCGCAAGGGAGGAGCUGCCGAAGGCGGGACCGAUGACUGGGGUGAAGUCGUAACAAGGUAGCCGUAUCGGAAGGUGCGGCUGGAUCACCUCCUUUCUAAGGAA